AAUUUAAUUUGAAUGCAGGGACUUGUCGGUUACGAGCAGAAGGUCAUUUCAGGCUUCGAUAUUCUAUAAAACUAGAAGCUAUCUAGACAGUAAUUCAACAGAUAUCUGGGUAGAAACACUUCGUUACAUCAAGCUACGAGAAAGUAUAUCAUCUCACAGAAUUCUAUUCGAACACCGCAUCGAAAUCAGUAGCCGUUAUCUAAAGCAGUCAUGAAGUUAUUCAUCUUAUCAAUGGUGGUGAUGAUGGUGGUGGUGGUGUGUGUUCAUGCUGAUUCAAGCGGAAACUCAUCAUCUACUUCUGAACCUGAAAGCGUUGAAUCGGGAGACAUGGACUCCGCUGAGUCCGCUACCAUCGAGGAACAGGGGGAUGAUGAUGAUGAGCCGCCUUGUGAGACGCCGAGUUGCUACAUUGGGGGUUGAUGGGGAAAAAGCAUCGGCGGAGUAAUUACGUCGAGUGGAACUUGUGAAACAACACAUCGUACAAUCAACGUCACUCUCAUUUCAUCCAUGACCACGGAAGCUCAUCGAAACUAUGACAGCCGCAAACCUCCCUA